UCCUGGGUGGCUCAGUCGGUUGAGCAUCUGACUUCGGCUCAGGUCAUGAUCUCGUGGUUCAUGGGUUCGAGCCCCAUGUCGGGCU
rnacentral:tRNA from 1 species